rnacentral:lncRNA from 1 species
CUCAAAGCCUAUGCUAAAAAUCAGCAAGUUUCUAUGUAUUUUAAAAUUCACAGAUUUUCCAUUUUUAAUACAGAUUCAUAAAAGGAAAUUUCUUGAAUUGUAAACAGCAUCAUUCAUCAAGUUUAUUGCUCCAGCAAGUCUGCUUUCAGAAUUUACCUGACUGAGUAACUUUCACAUGAUUUUAUUCUUCUGGCACAAAUUCAUUUCUUAAUAAACUUUGGCAAAGGUGAGAGUACAAGAUAUCCCACCCAGCAUACAUAUACUCUGCAAACUUAUUUAGGCUGCAAAACAGUAUGUAUAAUAUAUACAAAGCCAGUCUCUUGUUUUCUUUACGAAGUCACUCCUCCUCCCCAUUUAGUUAUAGGGGAAAAAAAUGAUAUACUGAAAAUCAUAUAUUCUAAGCACCUUAUAAAUUAACUAGCGUCCUUACAAAAACUAGAAAUCAGUUCAUAUUUCAUGCUUCCAGAGAACAUCCAAUUAAUCACACAAAUAAAAGGAUUUUUAAUGUGCCCGUCAUAGCAUUGCAACUAGUACCUGCUUGCUCCUAAGUUCCCUGAAUAACCUUCACAGAUGUCAGUUGCGUCUCAGAAUUGGCCUUAGCUUAAAUUAUAUUUUCAUAAUAAAAAAUAGUGUAAUCAGCCCAGUAUGUGCUUUGUGUGUCUUUUAUUUGCACAGGCAGCAGUAAAUACAGUAAAUAUAUAUCUACAGUGGACCUUUUAACAAUGGAGAAAAAAUAUAUUCAUUAAUAUAUAUACAGUUUCAACAUAUUUUAUUUCUCUUCUCCUUACAAAAUGAAACUCUGCCAACACUUGGGGUUUUAUCCACAUUUCACUUCUGGAGUUUCUUCAUAGUCUCAGGGACUAUGAUCAGGUUAAUGAUUUGACAUCAUGAAUCGCAGUCAUUGCAAUCCCCAAAAAUAUGACCAUUUACCAGCAUCUGAUAUGGCUUUUUCAUUCUAAAACCUAAAUUUAUAAAUUUAGGGCAAAAUUGGCUUGACCUUCCAGAAACCCAGGGGGAAAAUCCAUUCUUCUUUCUAACACUGGUCUGAGAGGUGAUGCCUCAUCGGCACUGCAGGCAGCUGGUGAUUCCCAGGACUACCGCUCCCCAGGCCAAUCUCCAACCACUAUUCUGGUGCAGUAGUUCUGAAGGGGGCUCAAGAAUCUGUUUUUAGAUCACUUCUCAGUGACACUUACGGGCAACAAGUUUGAGGGUCAGUUAUCUAAAUGCUCAUCUUAAUUAUUCCAAGUUACUGAACAGAUCUUAGAAAUGCACAUGUUCCAAUGCAAAGGUCGGAAGAAACUGCCUCACUCCCACUUUCACACACGUGGACAUGUGGCGGCAAUGCUCUAGGACAGAGGGUAGGACAGUGCCUGCUGGACAGGGUUAAGGUUUGUGCCACUGUGUGUCUUUCUUGCAUCCAUAGCUCUUGCCUGUCCCUCAAGAGCAGAAAAAUUGGAAACUACAUUUCCCAGGCUUCCAUGACAGCAGGGCUCUAGCUAGAUUUCAUCAGUGUCAAGCAGUCAUGUACAAUUUGGAGGGAUGAGAAAAAGAAGAAGCCAUAUUUCUCCAGCAGCAGCAGAUUCUGGCAGGAUGCUAAAGAUGAAGUGAGUAAGUAGUAGGAAACAAGAAACUGCUGACAGCGUCUGAUGAUACCAUCCUGCAUGUUUCCAGGCCUCAUACAGUGGAAUCUGCUUUCAGUUUACACUCUACAAGUCACUCUGCUGCUAAAGAAAAGAAAAGGAAGAAAGAAAUACCAGAGACUGAGUAAUUUACUUUUUUAAAAAAGAGGUUUAAUUAGCUCACGGCUCUGCAAACAAUACAGAAAACAUGAUGCUGGAAUCUGCUUGGCUUCUGGGGAAGGGUAGGUAGGGUGGUGGGAUGGUAGUGUGCUAGGAGAAGCCUUAGUGAAGGCUAAUAGGAAUGGUCUUUGCUUUUCCCAAAUGACUGAUCCAGGGGUUUUGCCAUUCUCAGGUGGCGUCAUGUUAAGGGACAAAAAUCAAAUAUUAUUUUCUUCCACUGUCAUCUUCCUCUUGGGGCAUUAUUUUUCCUGGCCUCACUUUAAAUCACUUGUUCAUUAGAUUGAGCCAUUUAGAGAUGUUUUAAAAAUUUUUAGCCAUUUUAUAUCAAAACAUGCCAAAAUAUCAAUACAGGGCAUGUCUGGAUCUAGCAUUUGGUAACACAUCAUAUAUUUUUAACAUUUUUAUUACUUAGUAAGAGGUAAAGAUUUGGUUUUGCUCAUUAGUCAUCUUUUAAAAAAUGUUCCAUAUAGUUAUAUUGAUUUUUUUUAUGAGAAAUAACUCUUUCAACGUUCCUUAAUGGGGAAUAUUUUAGGAAAUUCCAUGCCAUAGCAUCAUAUAAAUUGUUUGUAAAAUUGCACCAUUUCAAGGUUUGCUCUAAAAGGAAGAAAAACGCAGUAGUAAAGGCUUUGAUAAAGAUUAAAUAACUGAAUUCAUUAAAAUCAGCUUUUUACCUCAUUAUGAAGUUUGCCUUUUUCCAAAAUACGGUGAGAUCUAUUAUAUACCUAAUAAAUGUUCAGAGCUGAGCUAAAGGCCCUGAAGUUAACGGUUCAGAAAAGCCUGCAAAGAUCCUUAAUAUGUAUCUCCCUUCCAUCUACCUUCUUCUAAUCAUUCACUGCUCAAAAACUAUUUCAUUAAUAAUUACUAUGAGCCAGGCCUAAGAGUUAUAAGUACAUCUUCCAAAAACAUUUGGAUGGUGAUUCUCAAAAUCAUAUAUCUGAGCUCUAUCUCUGCCUUAAUUUCUAUCAAGAAAACAAAAACAAACAAACAAACAAAAAGCAGGCUGAAAAGAGAAGGCCUGAUUUAGCCAUAUUUAUUCACACAUUCUUUCACAGCUAUGUUGUUGUUGUUGUUUGGUUUGGUUUUUUUUGAGACAGGAUCUCACUCUGUCACCAAAACUGGAGUGCAGUGACAGAAACAUAUAGCUCAUUAUAACCCCGAACUCCUGGGUUCAAGCAAUCCUCCCACUCCAGUCCUAGUACCUGAGACUACAGGCAAGUGCCACUACGUCCAAAUAGUUUAUUUUAUUUUUUGUAGAGAUGGGGGUCUCACUAUGUUGCCCAGGCUGGUCUCAAACUCCUGGCCUCAAGAGAUCCUCCUGCCUCAGCCUUCCAAAGAUCUGGGAUUACAGGUGUGAGCCACUGCACCCGGCUCACAAUCAUGAUUUUGAUUGACUUCUUAUAUUCCAUAUUCUUUUUUUUUUUUUUUUUUGAGACGGAGUCUCGCUCUGUCGCCCAGGCUGGAGUGCAGUGGCGCGAUAUUGACUCACUGCAAGCUCUGCCUCCUGGGUUCACCCCAUUCUCCUGCCUCAGCCUCCCAAGUAGCUGGGACUACAGGCGCCCACCACCACGCUAACUUUUUGUAUUUUUAGCAGAGACGGUGUUUCACCAUGUUAGCCACGAUGGUCUUGAUCGCCUGACCUCAUGAUCUGCCCGCCUCGGCCUCCCAAAGUGCUGGUAUUACAGGCAUGAGCCACCAUGCCCGGCCAUAUUCCAUAUUCUUAAAUGCUGGUAACCUUGUUAAGUAUAAUGUAUUUUUCUCCUUCAAAUAUUGGUUUAUAUUUUGAGUGUUGCAUGCAUAGUGUUUGCUUUUAUCUUAAGCAAUUUUUCUUUUGCCGAAGAAGUAGAUCAGCUCCACUAUGGUAGAAAAUAGAUAAAUAGCUAGAUAGUUGAUCAUUAGAGAUAGAGAUAGAAAAAUAUAACAUGUUUUUAUUUAUGAGAAGCUCCAGUCUAAUAAUGUAUGAAAUCGAAACACAUGAAUUCCAACAUAAGUAACAUAGACUCCCAUUAGUUCUAAAUAAAUUGGUCUUCUGAAAGUAUUAAAGUUUCCAUAUUACUUAACUCUUCCAAUAAUAAUAUGUUAAUCAAAUAAAUUAAAUUAGCAAUAUUUUGGUAACUGAUUUCCAUAAACCAUAAAAACACUUCUGGGUUUUAAAAAAAACAAACAAAAACUACAACAACAAAAAAACCUCAUAGGGAGAAGCAAGCAUCUCCUUUAUAUUUUUAGUUGUGCUAAACAUCCUAGAACAGUGACAAUGUCUCUGCCUUUGCCCAAUAUGGAUUUACUAACAGGCAAAAAUCCUGUAUGGAUUUACUCUGAAGACUAUAAGACUCUGGGUCCCAUGCAAGUCUGCUCUUCCAAGUCUGGUUCAAAUCGUCUGCUCUUACCAUAUUCUGCUUUUUUUUUUUUUUUUUUUUUUUAGUGUAUGUGUAAAUGCCAUUUAUUUAUUUAUUUGUUUGUUUGUUUAUUGGAAAGCAUUUUACUCUGUUGCCCAGGUUAGAGUUCAGUGGCACGAAGAUUACUCACUGCAGCCUCAACCUCUUGGGGUCAAGCCAUCCUUCCUGUGCAGUCUCCCAAGUAAUUGGGACCACAGGCACGCGCCACCACGCCUGGCUAAUUUUUGUAUUUUUUGUAGAGAUGGGGGUCUCAUCAUGUUGCCCAGGCUGGUCUCAAACUCCUGGGCUCAAGCAAUCUUCCCACUUUGGCCUCCCAAAGUGCUGAGAUUACAGAUAUGAGCCACUACAAUAGGACUAUUCUGUUCUUUUCAUAGAUAUUUUGGGAUUAAUGUAACCUUCAGUUUUUAUCAUUUGUCACUGACUGUAGGUCAUUUACAUUUAAAAUGUGUCUACAUUGCCUCUAACAGGCCCUGACUACCACAUUUUUGAUGCUGAAUUGUAGAAAAUGGCUUAAACAAUAACUCAGUAUGUCUGAUCUUAACAUAAUCAGACGAGAUCGGGCGCGUUCAGGGUGGUAUGGCCGUAGACCAUAACCAGAACUUUGUUGGAUCACAGGUGGUUAUAUUUGCCUGCAGCUCAAUUGGUCUGAAUACAAUGUAAUAUUGUAUAUUCAUAAGAAUGCAAGUAGUGGUAACUGCAUUUUCAGUGAAGUUUAAUAAAUGUUUUAUAGUUUACAUAGUACAUAAUACAUGUUAUUUGCUGCAAGUAAAUAGCUAAUAAGGUUUUAUCUAACAGGUGUUUUAGAAAAAGAUAACCCAAAACAUAAUUCCUCUCUCAUAAUAAAAGG